UACGUAGGGUGCGAGCGUUAAUCGGAUUUACUGGGCGUAAAGCGUGCGCAGGCGGCCCGUUAAGACAGGUGUGAAAUCCCUGGACUCAACCUAGGAAUUGCGCUUGUGACUGGCGGGCUCGAGUACGGUAGAGGGGGGUGGAAUUCCUGGUGUAGCAGUGAAAUGCGUAGAGAUCAGGAGGAACACCGAUGGCGAAGGCAGCCCCCUGGGCCUGUACUGACGCUCAUGCACGAAAGCGUGGGGAGCAAACAGG
rnacentral:rRNA from 1 species